GAUGAACGCUGGCGGCGUGCCUAAUACAUGCAAGUCGAGCGAACAGACGAGGAGCUUGCUCCUCUGACGUUAGCGGCGGACGGGUGAGUAACACGUGGAUAACCUACCUAUAAGACUGGGAUAACUUCGGGAAACCGGAGCUAAUACCGGAUAAUAUAUUGAACCGCAUGGUUCAAUAGUGAAAGACGGGUUUGCUGUCACUUAUAGAUGGAUCCGCGCCGCAUUAGCUAGUUGGUAAGGUAACGGCUUACCAAGGCAACGAUGCGUAGCCGACCUGAGAGGGUGAUCGGCCACACUGGAACUGAGACACGGUCCAGACUCCUACGGGAGGCAGCAGUAGGGAAUCUUCCGCAAUGGGCGAAAGCCUGACGGAGCAACGCCGCGUGAGUGAUGAAGGUCUUCGGAUCGUAAAACUCUGUUAUUAGGGAAGAACAAAUGUGUAAGUAACUAUGCACGUCUUGACGGUACCUGAUCAGAAAGCCACGGCUAACUACGUG
rnacentral:rRNA from 1 species